rnacentral:rRNA from 1 species
ACUCCUACGGGAGGCAGCAGUGGGGAAUAUUGGACAAUGGGCGAAAGCCUGAUCCAGCCAUGCCGCAUGAGUGAAGAAGGCCUUUGGGUUGUAAAGCUCUUUUAGUGAGGAAGAUAAUGACGGUACUCACAGAAGAAGUCCUGGCUAACUCCGUGCCAGCAGCCGCGGUAAUACGGAGAGGGCUAGCGUUAUUCGGAAUUAUUGGGCGUAAAGGGCGCGUAGGCGGAUUAGUAAGUUAAAAGUGAAAUCCCAAGGCUCAACCUUGGAAUUGCUUUUAAAACUGCUAAUCUAGAGAUUGAAAGAGGAUAGAGGAAUUCCUAGUGUAGAGGUGAAAUUCGUAAAUAUUAGGAGGAACACCAGUGGCGAAGGCGUCUAUCUGGUUCAAAUCUGACGCUGAGGCGCGAAGGCGUGGGGAGCAAACAGGAUUAGAUACCCCAGUAGUCC